CUGGACUACAUUUCCCAUUGAUGCUCAGCUAGCUUUUAGACUCUAAAAGCUAGCUGAGCAUCAUGGGAAACAUAGCUCAG
rnacentral:miRNA from 1 species